UGAAGGCAGAGAGAAGAGGAAAGAAAUAGCCAGCUGUGCGCCAUCCCUGUCAGCACUUCUAGUGGCCUGCGGCCACACCCUCCCGAGGUACUCAGCCAGCUCUUCACUGGCAGCAGGGAAAAGCUGAGUCUCUCCAGUUCUUAGGCUCCAUAUCUAGAGGUAAAUGGCCCAGAGAUUUUUCUGAGGGCAUUCCUUAUUCUUCAUUUGAUGGCAUGAGCACCAAGAAGACAGGAGCCGAGAAACAUUACCAUUUUUGGAACAAAGUGACAAAGGAAAACAGAAAGAGACAGAAGGGCCCAUCCUUCGGGAAGAGCGCACUAGCGCGUGAGUUAGUGGCAGACCCACUCCAGGGUUCAGCGGAGACUGCAAUCCCCCGUGUUCCUGUGUCUCUGAGAUAUUCCACAUAAAUGAUUAACAGUGGAUCAACAGACUAAAAACAAAGCAUGUUUACAGCACUUCAUUUAUACUGCCUUGUUGCUUGACAAAAUUCCGUUAUGCUUCCUGUCGGUAGUGCCUGAGGACAUGAAAAGGUAUCAUUUUGAGUCUUGGAAAUGAUGAUGACUGUGUCCCCAGCCCAGGGCUGUGGCCUGAUUCAACGAAGUCAACCAUCACAUCUCAAGUCCCUCCAAUCAGAGCCAUGGGUCAGGAGAGAAGAGCCUUGGAGAAGACACCACAGGCAGCUCGGCACGCUUGUCUGAAGCCCGUAGCCCCACCUAGGACCUCUUCUGCUCAGUGAACUGAUAAACCUUCAUUAUUACUUCGACCACUGUGGGCAGAAAUUUCCAGUAUUUGCACCAAAGAUGGAAGAAUUUCACUAAUAACAAUAGCUAGUGGCUGUUGAACACUUUACCCUGUGCCAGGCACUCUGCUAAACACUUUAGAUGUUUGACUAUGUCUAAUCCUCUCAACCUUGGAGACAGAUUAUUUCUAACCCCAUUUAUAGAUUAGAGAGUCUAGGUUUAGAAAAGUUAAAUAACUUAUCCAAGGGCACAUAGAAUAAACUUGAAUGUCCUUAGGAGGUUAGGUCAAGUGGAGAUAAAAAACUGUCCACUGGAUUGAGCAACAUGCUAUGCACCAAGAUGUUUAGAGGAAACAUCUUCACAGGCUGCACUGAGAUGGACCAAGGUGAAUGGAGGCAGGUUGAGGGUAGGCAAGCACCAAGGGAGUAGAAACACAUGUGUGGCAACAUUUUGAAGAAGUUCAGCACACAUCUGGUCCUCUAGAUCAGCCAGAAUGCUUUGGGUUGCACAUCAUAAAACAUCAUAUUUUGGAUGUUCUUAAACAAUUUUUUUUUCACAUAGCAGGAAGCCUAGAGAUAUGGAAGACUGAAACAUUGAUCAGUGGCUCAACAGUGUCAUUAGGGACCAGGUUCUUCUACAGUCUUGUUCUGGUCUUUGAUACACCGCUGUUUCACUGUGAGACAUUUAGAUGCAGGUUUCUUAAUGUGUAUACAGCUUGGUUUGGAUGUAUUGAAUUUACUUCAUCUAUAGCUUUAUGUCUUUCAUAAAUUCUGGAAAAUUAUUACUCAAUAUUCUGAGAAUCAUAGAAAAUGCUUGUGCAUUAUGAGAUAGUAGAGCAUUUUUAUGACUAAAUCUAGCCUACCAGGGCUUUAAUUCUAUACUUGAAAAAUAGUUAUUAUGAAAGGAAGAUAAACUCAAGUUUGACUCUUAGCCUAAUUUCAUCAUCUACAUCAUAGAACAUAUCAGCAUAGCCCCUGCCUUAUAGGAUAGUGAUGACCCAGUCUGAUAGUAUCUGACAUACCCAGUAGGGACCACGCCAGUAUGGUACAACAACCUAUUGUACUGGCUGUGGACUCUCUGUCCACAAACCAUACAUCCUGUAAAGUGACGGAACCAACAGGGUCAGAAAUCACCUGCACUGACUCUACUUUCUACUGUAAUCACCAGUUGUCCUUGAUGGCUGUUGCCCCCAUUAGCGUUCAAGAGUGUUCAUGAUCCAUCAGAUGGGCAAAGGCACUCUUGAAUGAGAGACUUCAUUAUUUUCUUGUUUAUAAAAGAGACAUGAAAGUCACAUCUAUUUUAAAUUGGAUUUUGUUUUUUUUUGGUACCGGGGAUCGAACUUGGGUCCUUGUGCUUUCGCAGCAGGCAGCAAAACCACUGAGCUAAAUCCCCGCCCCAUAUUUUAAAUUGGAUUUUGCUAUGAAUGAGAUGAUAAGAUGCAUUCUAAGCAGAAUGCCUUGAAAAUUCCCCUUGUCUGUAGGCGCCUGUAGCAUGUCCUAUCCCUCUCCAUUACCUACUUCCAUUUCAUUCACCAACUAAGUCUUGAAUCCAUUUGGUUUCCUAAAUACACAUCUUUUUCACCUGGAUUAACACAGUGGCAUCUCUUAUAAUUUAGAUCUGGGGAGUCCCCUAAAUCUUUCAUGUCUUCAGAUCAAUGCAAUUGGACAAGAGAUACUUAGUAACAUCCCAAAGACCAUGUCUCGUGAAAAUGUAUAUGAGGACCCUCGGUCCAUCCCACGGCUUCGUGUUCAUGGUAGGAAAGGUACGUUCUGAGUCAGAGGUGAAAAACGUACAAUGUGAGGAUUUCAUCUCCUUCCUGAGCUGGUGGAAGGCAUGGCUAAUGUAUUGCAGCAUUCUUUCCUCCUGAGUUCCGACAAGGACUCUGAGUUUUUCCUUAGUGUUUCAGUUUCCAUGGCAAAUUAAUUAAUUAACAUAUUAACUGAAAAUUACUUCUGAACCUGUUGGGUUUAAACAUGAAGCGUCUUCCAAAGACCUAAGUAUCGACGAAGGCUUGGGUUUCAGUGCAGCAAAGUCCAGAGAAAUAGGGCUGGGGAGGGGAUGGGAUCUGGGUUAAUCCACGAAUCAACUGAUGGUGGACUGUAUUGUUAGGGGUGGAGCCCCGCUGGAGGAAGUGGGUCACUGGGGGCGUGGCCUUGGGGACUGCAUCUUUCCCGGCUCUUUCCUCCAGGCUCUUCUCUCUGCUUCCUGGCUACUUGGAGGUAGAAAGUAACGACAUUAAAAAUACAUAACAAAAUCAUAUAAUUCUGUCGCUCAUUAUGAACACAAUAAAAUACUUUUCUAAGUUAGGGGGGACAUCAGACUCAGGGACUACAAGAUCUCUCCAAAGCUAAAAUUCUAAACCUUUGUUGCAUGAUCUUUCUGGCUAUUAAAUUUCUCUCUGUUGAGGAGUAAGAACCGGAAAGGCGCCUCAAAACAGCAUAUGUGAGGAACAGCUUUGAUCGUAGUAUCAUUUCCACUCCGGACUCAGGCAGGCGUGCUCUGUUUCACGCUCCGUCCUAGGUCGGAGCAGCCACGGGGACCGGAAGCUGCAGUUCAGCCCUAGCACGAAGUGGUCC
rnacentral:lncRNA from 1 species